AGUCUAGCACGUGGGCGAGUCAGUGGGACAUUGCGAAACCCAAAGGCGAAGUUAAUGCGAAGGCCCGCCUCGUGCGCGGCCGAGGGAGGAUGGGCGCGGCCGCGGUCGCGCCCCGCACUCCCGGGGCGUCCCGUGCUCAUCGCGAGCUGGGGCGCACCCAGAGCCUACGCGCUAGGACCCGAAAGAUGGUGAACUAUGCCUGGUCAGGACGAAGUCAGGGGAAACCCUGAUGGAGGUCCGCAGCGAUUCUGACGUGCAAAUCGAUCGUCGGAGCUGGGUAUAGGGGCGAAAGACUAAUCGAACCAUCUAGUAGCUGGUUCCCUCCGAAGUUUCCCUCAGGAUAGCUGGCGCUCGUCGCCGACGAGUCUCAUCCGGUAAAGCGAAUGAUUAGAGGCAUCGGGGCCGAAACGGCCUCGACCUAUUCUCAAACUUUAAAUGGGUGAGAUCUCCGGCCCGCCCGAACACGGGGCCGCGAGAUCGGAUCAGAGUGCCAAGUGGGCCAUUUUUGGUAAGCAGAACUGGCGCUGUGGGAUGAACCAAACGCCGGGUUAAAGCGCCCAAGUCGACGCUCAUGGGACACCAUGAAAGGCGUUGGUAACUUAUGACAGCAGGGCGGUGGCCAUGGAAGUCGGAAUCCGCCAAGGAGUGUGUAACAACUCACCUGCCGAAGUUACUAGCCCUGAAAAUGGAUGGCGCUGAAGCGUCGCGCUCAUACCCGGCCGUCAGCGGCACGUGCGGUCGCGUCGCAAGGCGCGGCCAUGAAGCCCUGACGAGUAGGAGGGUCGCGACGGUGAGCGCCGAAGGGCUGGCCGCGAGGCCGUCCGGAGCCGCCGUCGGUGCAGAUCUUGGUGGUAGUAGCAAAUACUCCAGCGAGGCCCUGGAGGACUGACGUGGAGAAGGGUUUCGUGUGAACAGCCGUUGCACACGAGUCAGUCGAUCCUAAGCCCUAGGCGAGAGCCGAUGUUGAUGUGACGCCGUACACGAGAGAGAACAACUGUGUUUUUCUGUUCGGAACGCGUCCGUCGGGCGAAAGGGAAUCCGGUUCCUAUUCCGGAACCCGGCAGCGGAACCGCAACCAAAUCGGGCCCUCGCAAGAGAGUUCGUCGGGGUAACCCAACAGGACCCGGAGACGCCGUCGGGAGGUGCGGGAAGAGUUUUCUUUUCUGCAUGAGCGUUCGAGUUCCAUGGAAUCCUCCAGCAGGGAGAUAUGGUUUGGAACGCGAAGAGCACCGCAGUUGCGGCGGUGUCCGCACCUUCCCCUCGGACCUUGAAAAUCCGGGAGAGGGCCACGUGGAGGCGUCGCGCCGGCUCGUACCCAUAUCCGCAGCA
rnacentral:rRNA from 1 species